rnacentral:rRNA from 1 species
UCCUGGGGAAUGGGGGUAGUAUUAGAUGUUCUAGAAACCUAAAAUUUUUGGCGGUUCUUUAGGCUAGUUAGAGGAACCUGUUCUGUGAUAGAUAUUCCACGUUAAGUUUAACUUUUUUUAUAGUUUAUAUACCGCCGUCGUAAAGUAAUUUUUAUAGGAAUUAUUGUUUAGUUAGGCUUGGAGAGAUGACAGGUCAAGGUGUAGCUAAUGGAAGAGGGUGAAAUGGGUUACAAUACUGGAUUAGUAUAAUGGAUGUAAGAGGAGAAAAAUCUUGCUGAAGGAGGAUUUAAAAGUAAAAUUGGGAUUAGUAUGUGAGUUUGAUUUUAGCUCUAGGGGAUGU